rnacentral:rRNA from 1 species
AUUGAACGCUGGCGGUAUGCCUUACACAUGCAAGUCGAACGGUAACGGACUUACAGCUUCCGACGAGGGGCGGCGGGGUGAGUACUACUGCGGAAUGUGUCCGAACCUGCGGGUUCAUGGGGGGUAACGUUUGGAAACUUACCCUAAUACCUCAUGCGGCAUGCAGGUGAAAGCAAGGCAUCUUCCGGCCUGGGGCGCUUGAGGGAGCCGAUGCCGUAUUUGCUAGUUGGCGGGGUAAAGGCUCACCAAGGCGACGAUCCGUAGAUGGUCUGAGAGGAUGAUCAGCCACACUGGGACUGAGACACGGUCCAGACUCCUACGGGAGGCAGCAGUGGGGAAUAUUGGACAAUGGGCGCAAGCCUGAUCCAGCCAUGCCGCGUGGAUGAUGAAGGCCUUCGGGUUGUAAACUGCUUUUGUUGGGAACGAAAAGCCUUCGGUUAAUACAGGGGUGUCAUGACGGUACCGUAAGAAUAAGCACCGGCUAACUACGUG